rnacentral:lncRNA from 1 species
AUGCUGAUGGGUGUGAUCCUCUAUGCUAUAAAACCAGAACCCAGUGUAUUUUUGUCAGAGCAAAACAGGCCAUAUGCUGAUGGUUGUUCUCCGUUGUCAAUAAACUCAUCGUUCGAUUGCACUUUUCUGGAGCCUCCGUCGUUUGUUGUCUGGUCUGCAGUUGAAUGAUCUCGCUUCAUUGCUUAGCUCUGGCUUCAGGCUGACCACGAUCAGGCUUUGGUGAGCGUGUGAUCAACACUUUAUCUGAACGAGGGGAUGAUGCAAACACAUUUUUGUGAGUCAAAGUGAACUCAUCAACCAAAAUGGCUGCUUUUGACAGUGAGGCAACCUUUUACUCAUUUAAAAACAUUACAAGCUUCUCUGGUAAUAGAUUCUUAAAAUCUUCCAACAGGACUAACUGACGAAGCUCUUCAAAGUCUCUCUUCACUUCACUUGCUGUGCACCACUUGUCAAAAAGAACUGCCUUCUCACGUGCAAACUCUACAUAUGUUUGACCGUUAGACUUCUUGUGAUUCCUGAACUUUUGUCGGUAGGGCUCAGGUACAAGCUCAUAAGCACGAAGGAUGGACUCUUUCACUACAUCGUAUUUCAUGCUGUUUUCGAUAGAGAGAUGACAGAACCUCCUGUGCUUUGCCCAUUAGUUUGCAUUGCAGUAGCACAGCCCACAUUUCUUUUGGCCAUUCUAAUGCUGUUGCAAUCCUUUCAAAAGCAUUAAAGUAGGAAUCAACUUCUGUCUCUCUAAAUGUUGGCACCAAAGCAAUAUUUUUGCACACAUCAAACCUACAGGUGCUGCCAGAUGAAUGUAAAGAAUCUGAAGUAACCGGUGAGCUGGGAGAAGGCUGGCUUUGUGUAAGUCUCAUAGCUUCCACUUCUAGCUGUUUUAACUUUACCUCCUUCUCAGCUUCAAUUUCCAGCUGAUGUAUCCGAAGUUUGAGGUCAAACUCGGCCUUACGUGUUUGCUCCCUCUCCUGCGCCUCCAGCUGAAGGCGAGCUAGAUGCACCUUAAGUCUAGCAUGUCCGUUUGACCCACUGAAGUCUGGGGACACAGGAUCGAAACGAGGUAGAGUGGGAGGCACCUUAGGCUCCACCUCCAGCCUCCACCAAAAAACAUCAAAACGACAAAACAUAGCUGAGCUAUUAUCCUAGAAAACAAAAGCAGAAAGACCCUAAACCUCAACU